UUGCAACACAAUUGCUUUUUCCAUAACCUUCAUCUUUUUACAUUCUUACAAACACAACAACAGGGUACAAUACAAAUAUUUCAUUUUUCCAUAAAUGGCACCAACUUAUGCAAAAGUGAAUGGUGGUGUUAACCUUGAGCCAUAUUGUCCGACGUCCCAUCGAACAUUACCACGUGUUUAACGCCUUCUGGUGGUUGUUUUGUUGGUUUUGAUGCUUUCGAACCGAGUAGUAGGCAUGUGGUCUCAAUCGGGAAGCUUAGUGGGAUUCGGUUCAUGAGUAUAUUCCGGUUCAAGGUUUGGUGGACGACUCAUUGGGUUGGGUCACGUGGCCGAGACCUUGAGCACGAGACCCAAAUGGUCAUGCUUGAGACUCUGACUCUGGGCGACCUUAUGUUUUAAUUCUUCCACUUAUAGAAGGUCGUUUCUGGGCUUCUCUGCAGCCCGGAGAGAGAAGCCCGGAAACGAUGACUUUGUGGACGUUUGUGUUGAAAGUGGGUCCACAAAGAUAACUGACACUUGUUUUAAAAGUGUCAUUUACAUGCAAGCGGGUCAUGACCCGUAUAUUUUAGUAAAAAAAGCAAUAAGAGUUGUUAAGGAGCGUCUUGGAACCACUAAAAAAAAGCCAUUUAGUGGCACACAUUUUUAAUGGUAUAUAGGUUUUGUGACACUAAUUUUUGUUUUUAAUGGCACUUUAGGUAUUUAACACAUACAUCUAGUGGCAUUUAACUUUUGUGUCACUAAUCAAGGCUUUUAUGGCAUUUUGCAUAUGCCACCAAAAUUUUUUAUAUGUUUUAAUGGCACUUUACCUGUGCCACAAGUGACAUUUAACUUUUAUAUCACUAAUCAAGUCUUUUAGUGGCAUUUAAAAUUUUCAUCAUUUCUUUCUUUGAAACCUAAAAAUUUGCCAAAAAAAUUCUCUUUCACCAAAAAUCAAUUUCCCUCCCCAAACCAUUUCAUAUUCCCGCUGAUUCCCCUUAUAUAAUUAUAGUUACCUCACUCGCAACAGUUCUUCUUCCCUCCCUCACACGAUGUGACCAUACCUACCAGAUGAAACCCUAACGAUCUUCUUCUAACAAAUUCGGAGUUCAAUCUGAAUCUGUUUCAACGCAGAUCUAAGAGAUGGUUCUGAGAAAACCUAAGGAUCUUCUUCACAUCGUUACAGAAACGCGAUUGAAUGUAUUCCGAUGGAAUCUACAGUAACCGUUGGUUCGGGUGAACGCUCUGUCAUCGGAAUCUUCAAACUGUCAAGCGAUUGAAUGUAUUCGUCUUCCAAUCGAUGAAAUGGAAGCUCACUUGCGGAAAAUGGAGCACUUUUCUCCGCAAUCUUCAUCGACGACGGAACUAAUAGAAGUAAAGCCAGGCGUCGAGCCCUGAUGAUAUUUUGUGCCACAUAGUUGAAUAAGAAUGUGAAGGUCUCAAAGCAUAAAGGUAUUUCAAUGGCAUGGUGUGUUUGAACAGUGCACCAUUGUAGAGGGUGCCGAGUGAGAAGAGGAUUGUUGGGACAAUGAGCUUGCUGUUUGUUUUGGCUCCCCAACUUGCACUGGUCUUGGGUGUACUUAUGCUUGUGGUGUCUAGUUUAGUUGGUAAGUUCUUGGUUCUUAUCACUUACUUCUUUUGUCUAGAUCAGGGAGCUUGAAUAAGAGAAGAAAGGAUUGAUGCCCAAACUAUAGGUAAUUUACUCUGCCAGCUUAACUGUUAAUUUGUAUAUCAUAUGUGGCAACAGUUGUGGUGUUUGUACAUUCAUAUCCCGGUCCUAAAAUUUUUACGACUUUUUCAUAUAAAAAAUAAGAUUUUGUGAGAGGUAAUAUGGGUUUGAAAGCAUUUUACCGGUUGCGUCGUAACUGUAACUAUUGAAAGACUUUUUAUCAUGUUCUCAGGUAUAGGUAUACUGACAUAUUCAAAACAUUGAUAGGUACCCCAGGACUCAUAAGUAUGUUGAACUGCUUCGAGCACAUUUAACAUUAAUGGGUACCACAAAAAAAAAAAACAUGUAGAUCUUAGAGCAUUGAAGGGUACCACAAAAAAAACUUGUAGAUCUUAGAGAAUUGAAGACGUGGACUAAACAUGUAGAGACUUGUGUAUCUUCAAUUCUUCGUAGUCAUGAGUCAUGACUAGGGGUGCAAACGACCCGAGCCGAGCCCGAGCUCGUUUAACAUAUGAAAGCUCGAGCUCGGCUCGAAGGUAAUUUUUCAAGCUCGAGCUCGGCUUGGGCUAGACUCGUUUAGCAUUUAUUAAUUAAUUUAUAUUAAUUAUCAUUAUAAUAAUUAUUAUACGUAUAAUUUGGUUAUUUUUUUAUAUUUAUAUAAAUGGUAAUUAUUAUUAUAUAAAUAUAUGUUCAAUAUAUUAAUAAAAAAUAUAUAAACAAAAAGCUCGUUUAGGCUCGCGAGCCGGCUCGAGCUCGAUAAGCGAAGCUCGGGCUCAGGCUUGUUUACUAAAUGAGAUUGUUUUUAGGCUCGGGCUCGAGCUCGAGCUCAUUUAAGCACGGUCGUUCGAGCUUUUUUUCGAGCCGAGCUUGAGUAGCUUGCGAGUAACUCGGCUUGUUUGCACUCCUAGUUUUGACUAUGUUAAACUUGCUUGUUUUUCAGUUGGCUAGUAAGUUAGGCAACAAUAAUAUUUUGGUAAUCGUAAUAAGGGUAUAUAUAAAAAUUUUCAAAAUUCUUUUUCUAAAUCGCUAUUUAUAAAAUGGCCGUCGCUAUUUGUCGCUAUUCGCUACAUAGCCUAUAGGUGCCUUGUCGCUAUUUGCCAUCGACAACUAUGACCCAAGCUUCAAUAGCUGAUUGUGUAACCGAAACUUUUUCUACAAUCUGUACAGUAAGUUCCCAAUAUAUUUCUGAAACUCAUGUUCCUUUAUACCUUCAAUGACUUGUUAAUGAUUAAGAACUUCAUCCGCAGUUAAUGAUAUUUGUUGCUCCAUGCAGGUAAGGUCAUAUGGUGGAGAGAAACGUCAAAUGUUAACGUUUGGGAACCAGGUUAAAUAAUUAAUGUCCAUAGAUGUCACGAUCAUAUAUGUCUGAUGUAUUUCCAACCACUGGAUUUAUAGAUUAUCGUAUUGACCAGGUUCUAGAGUAUUUAAGUUGCUAUUCACAGGAGUUUAUAAUUGUAUAUAUGUAUAAUAUGGUGCUCAUAGACAUAUAUGCUUUCUGUUGCCUGAUAUAAGCAUACAAACAUGAGUUUUUUUUUUUUUUUUUUAAUUUUAAUUGCUUUACUCGGGGUACCAUGAUUUGCCAAUAACUCAUUCAGGCACAACAGAAUUGCAGUUUGAAUCAGAAGAUAUGAUAGAUAAUUUUGUUAGAAAACCAGCUGCUUUAGUUACUGGCAUGGUUAUGCCCCGAAUUUUGCUAUUUUUCCUAUCUUGAUUUUUAAAGUAUGCCACUGACUUUUGUCUUUCUUAAUUUCAACUAGCGAUUUUAUACAAACUUUUAUUUUUGUUUCUUUCAUUAAAAUUUCACAUGGAGGCUUGAUAAUUACUAAUUCUUUGAAUCACAACUCCACUGUCAGUGGUGCUUGCGGUUCUAGUGCUACCAUUCUGUCAGUUUGUAACUUAAUUUUUGAAGAACAUCUUUGUUACGCUUGAUUUAUAAUUUAAUUAAAAGAUACUUAUAUCAUUAUGACGUUGAAUGACCCUUGAUUCAUCUAUUUAGUGUGCUAAUUGGGAUCCGGGAUCGAAGAUAAAAAUUUUGGAUUUUGAGGGUCGUAACGGACCGCCAUUGUGGAAAAGGCUUGGCAACAGACCAUUACCGAAGCUGUAAUGAUUCGUUAUGUAGUGGCCACUGGCCAGGAGGUGACAAUUUCGUGUCCACAGGUAACUAACUAACUCGCAGGUCGCCUUUUGUUCUGAUUCGAAGUUUUGUUGGAUCUAGGGUAUGGAUUUGCAAACCAAUGACAUUAAUUAUUUAGGAGAUGGAGGUCGAUGCUUUCAUAAGACUUUUCCUCUUACGAUUUCAUGAAAGAAUUUGCUCGAGUUGGUACAGCCUGAUGCCAGGUCACUCGGAUGAAGGAUACUUCUGAAUGUGGAGGGUUGUUGAAGGAAGAGUAUGCGCAUGAGGGUGCCUGAGCUCAACGGACACUGCAUGAUUUUGUUGAAAGCAAUUUUUUGGUUCAACAAGGCUUUGUUUGAAAUUGUAGAACUCAAGGUUGAAUAUAGUGAGUUGGCUGAUGCGGCGACAACAAAGAGUAAGUGCAUGGAAUAACUAUGAAGUAGGAAAUACGAUUGCUAAGAAAGAGUUAACAUAAUGAAUAUUUUAUUCGCAUGAAGAUUAUGAAAGAGAUUCAUGAACGCUAUGGAGUUUUGAGUUUUUGUUCAAACAUUUUUUAAAUGUUUGUUUUGUAUGUUCGAUAUUUAGACUUAGUUUGACACUUAUUAGUUAUCUCUUUGCAAACAUUUGGAAUCUUGAUGAUUGAUUGAACUUUCAAUUGAAUUGAUUGUAUUAUUAUGAUUUAUAAUUUUACAAUUUUAUUUUUAUUUUUUAAUAUAGUUUUAUUUUUUAAUGUAAAUAAAUAAUAAUUGUAAUCAAUAAAAACUAAAAUCAUAAAUAACUUGAUGUGAUUUUGUGGCAAAAAAUAUGUGCCACUAAAAGCCCAAAAGUUUGUAGUGGCAGAAAAAACAAUGCCACUAAAAAGCCUAUAUACUUUGUGCGGCAGAUCGAAAAAGUGCCACUAAAAGGCUUUAGCGUCGGCACUUCUAGUGGCAUUUUUUUUGUGUGCCGCUCAUUCCUACAGAUGUUUUUAAUGGCUUUUUUGUUGUUUUGUGGCACUUUUUGUGUGUCACUAAAUGACAUUUUUUUGUAGUGAACUUUCAACCUAUUGGACGAAAAAACCCCACCCGGUAUUGUUGACAAGUUUGGUUGGUGCACAUGGGACGCCUUCUACCUUAAAGUGCACCCACAGGGUGUCAUUGAGGGUGUCAAGGGUCUAGUUCAAGGCGGAUGCCCACCGGGGCUCGUUGAUAGAAGGGUGAAUAACCGUGUUUUAACAUGUGUAAAUAUAAGGUUUUAAGUGUUUAUUAUCAUAAAACAUGGUUACUUUGAGUGUGUUUCUAUUUGUAGGUGCCCAGAGCUUAAUGGAUGGAUAUUGAAGCUAAACGGGAGGUUUUCGGGAAGAUUUAUGAAGGUUUGAAGCUUACACACAAGUUGGGAGUUGAAAAAUGUGAAAAAUGGUGAGAAACCAGUACUUAGCGCAAGAAGAAACCAGUUUGGCGCAAGCCGGUGUCAGUUUUGACGUAAUACAGAUGCAAGUAAGUCAGGGGCGCAACCUUGUACCAUGGGGGCGCAACCUUGCGCUGACAUCAGAUAGCCACACGAAAAUUCAGCAUUUUACUUUAUUUUAAUAUAUCUUCAACCCCAAAACGAGAUUUUCAUUAACCCUAGCCGUUUUCCACUUCCCAAGGACGAAUUUUGGAGUUCCCAACAUCAAUUUUCAUCAAUCUUUCAUGCAAUCAAACAUCCAAGAAAACCAAGAAGAUCAAAUCAUGACUAUGAGUGGCUAGAUUCUUUUGUGACCACCUCCGGGUGGAUGGUUCAUGUAUGUGAAACUCAAACCUUGUUUAUUUAGUUCUUCUUUGGAUUGUUUUUCAUAACUUGAAGAAUACUUGUGGUUUAGUUUUGUUUAAAAGAAUUGUGAGUGUUGCAAUUAUUCAUCUUUUACCAUUCGCAUUCGGUUUUCUUGCAUCGUGAGUAGGUUGGUUAUUGGGUGGGUUCUUGGCACUUAUGAUUUGGUAAUUAGAUUGCAUAAGUUAUUAUUAAAAACUUGUCUUUGAUUAUCAAUCAAGCUAAACCGUUAACAAGACCUUUUGGUAUCUAUCUAAUUAAAUAGGUUUGGGUGAAUCGUUGAACCGGAAAUCUAGAGGGGGUUGCUUUUCUUUAAAAUUGAUAAGUUUCUUAAUUCUUCUCGAUCAAAAAUCUCAAAACGCAAUCAAAGCAAUAGAUUAACUAUUGUUUUGAUUACCUUCACUAGCAAGGGUAAGCAUUGUUUUUUCAUACGUAAUCUGAAAACAAUGCAACUGUUUGAUAACAGGGAGGCCAUUAUAGCUGCUAUUCCAAGUUACGAGGAGCCAUACAUUAAAGUUCCAAAAGUCUUGAACAAGGAUUAACGCAAUAAGGUUUUCUUGGUGAUUGGUCGUUUCGCUUUUGUGUAAAACCUGGACAUCAAGUGCAUGUGAUUUACUAUUGUUUCGACAUUUUAUUCUUUAUAUUAGGCAUUGUUGGUUUAGAAUUUGAAGUUUAAUUUAGAAGCUAAUUGCUAUUCUACACACUUGAGGAUUAGUUUCGGGUUAAUGCUGCAUCAUCAUCGGUGAUCAAAAGCGGACAAGAGUAGGAGGAUAACGAAUAUGAUGAAUGGGUGUUUGUCUCUUCUUCUCCCAUCUAUCUCCGUAAUAUGAUUUUCCCAUCCCCUCUUCUAUGA